rnacentral:rRNA from 1 species
UACGUAGGGUGCAAGCGUUGCUCGGAAUCAUUGGGCGUAAAGCGCGUGUAGGCGGCCACUUAAGUCUGGUGUGAAAGCCCGGGGCUUAACCCCGGAAGUGCACUGGAUACUGGGUGGCUAGAGGACGAGAGAGGGAAGCGGAAUUCCUGGUGUAGGGGUGAAAUCCGUAGAUAUCAGGAGGAACAUCGGUGGCGAAGGCGGCUUCCUGGCUCGUUACUGACGCUCAGACGCGAAAGCGUGGGGAGCAAACAGG